AGACGUCUACAUUAGAUACCCGCGUAGUCCCAGCCGUAAACUAUGCGCGUUAGGUGUAUCGGUGACCACGAGUCGCCGAGGUGCCGAAGGGAAACCGUGAAACGUGCCGCCUGGGAAGUACGGUCGCAAGGCUGAAACUUAAAGGAAUUGGCGGGGAGCACCACAACGGGUGGAGCCUGCGGUUUAAUUGGACUCAACGCCGGGAAGCUCACCGGAUAAGACAGCGGAAUGAUUGCCGGGCUGAAGACUCUGCAUGACUAGCUG
rnacentral:rRNA from 1 species